UAUAGACAAUUAUUUUUAUCAUUAUUUUUAUCUUAUCUUAUCUUAUGUUUUUUUUUUUUUUUUUUUUUUUUGUAGAUCGCAUUCGCAGGGAGUUACAGACGUUAAGUUUGAAAAAUUGGGUCAGUUGGUUUAUACAGCAUGUUAUGAUAAUAUGAUUCGCGUGUUUGACAUUCGAAAUUUACAAAAGCCUGUUAGAACUUUGGACGUGGAGUCAAGCAUAUGGAGAAUAAAGUUUUUAUAUAAAAAUAACACAAUGAAAAAACUUUUAGUAGCAGCGUGCGAUGGAGGGGCAAAGGUUUUUAAAAAAAUAAACGAUGAUUUUAUCUUUGAAAAAGGUAUAUGUAAUAAUAAAGAAUUGACAUAUGGUAUAGACGUUAUAGAUGUUUUUGAUCGAGAAAAAAAAAAAAAAAAAAAAUUUAUUUAUCUUGUUCUUUUUAUAAUAAAGAGGUGCAAAUGUGGGUCUAGCGGAUAUAACAAAAAAUAUGAAAAGUAUGCAACUUUUUUUAACUAAUAAAAUGGUACACGUUUAAUAUGCAUAUGGGUAUAUUUGUAUAACAAAUUCUUUGCAUUUUUAUAAUAUGUGCUAGUGAUAUUUUUAAUUGUAUCAGUAUAAAAAGGUACGUAUCUACGUAAAAUUAUGUAACAUAUUCUAUAUAAACAAAAAAAAAAAAAAAAAAUAAAGUAUUUAAAUAAAAAAAUAGGUUUAUUAUU
rnacentral:lncRNA from 1 species